CUACGUAGGUGACAAGCGUUAUCCGGAUUUACUGGGCGUAAAGGGCGUGUAGGCGGUCUUGCAAGUCAGAAGUGAAAUUCCUGAGCUCAACUCGGGCGCUGCUUCUGAAACUGCAGGACUUGAGUGCUGGAGGGGAUAGCGGAAUUCCUAGUGGAGCGGUAAAAUGCGCAGAUAUUAGGAAGAACACCGGUGGCGAAGGCGGCUAUCUGGACAGUAACUGACGCUGAGGCGCGAAAGCGUGGGGAGCAAACAGGAUUAGAUACCCUGGUAGUCCACGCCGUAAACGAUGAGCACUAAGUGUCGGAUGAAUUUUCGGCGCUGCAGUUAACACAAUAAGUGCUCCGCCUGGGGAGUACGGUCGCAAGACUGAAACUCAAAGGAAUUGGCGGGG
rnacentral:rRNA from 1 species